rnacentral:rRNA from 1 species
CUCCGAAGUUUCCCUCAGGAUAGCUGGUGCAUUUUAAUAUUAUAUAAAAUAAUCUUAUCUGGUAAAGCGAAUGAUUAGAGGCCUUAGGGUCGAAACGACCUUAACCUAUUCUCAAACUUUAAAUGGGUAAGAACCUCACCUUUCUUGAUCUGAAGGUUGUGGUUAUGAUAUAAUGUGCCCAGUGGGCCACUUUUGGUAAGCAGAACUGGCGCUGUGGGAUGAACCAAACGUAAUGUUACGGUGCCUAAAUUAACAACUCAUACAGAUACCAUGAAAGGCGUUGGUUGCUUAAAACAGCAGGACGGUGGACAUGGAAGUCGUAAUCCGCUAAGGAGUGUGUAACAACUCACCUGCCGAAGCAACUAGCCCUUAAAAUGGAUGGCGCUUAAGUUGUAUACCUAUACAUUACCGCUAAAGUAUAUGAUUUUGUAAAUUUAAUACUAUUGUGUAUUAUUAUUUAUUAAAUUUUGAAACUUUAGUGAGUAGGAGGGUACAAUGGUGUGCAUAGAAGUGUUUGGCGUAAGCCUGCAUGGAGCCGCCAUUGGUACAGAUCUUGGUGGUAGUAGCAAAUAAUCGAAUGAGACCUUGGAGGACUGAAGUGGAGAAGGGUUUCGUGUGAACAGUGGUUGAUCACGAGUUAGUCGGUCCUAAGUUCAAGGCGAAAGCCGAAAAUUUUCAAGUUUCAAUGCA